rnacentral:rRNA from 1 species
GAUGAACGCUGGCGGCGUGCCUAAUACAUGCAAGUCGAGCGAACGGACGAGAAGCUUGCUUCUCUGAUGUUAGCGGCGGACGGGUGAGUAACACGUGGAUAACCUACCUAUAAGACUGGGAUAACUUCGGGAAACCGGAGCUAAUACCGGAUAAUAUUUUGAACCGCAUGGUUCAAAAGUGAAAGACGGUCUUGCUAUCACUUAUAGAUGGAUCCGCGCUGCAUUAGCUAGUUGGUAAGGUAACGGCUUACCAAGGCAACGAUGCAUAGCCGACCUGAGAGGGUGAUCGACCACACUGGAACUGAGACACGGUCCAGACUCCUACGGGAGGCAGCAGUAGGGAAUCUUCCGCAAUGGGCGAAAGCCUGACGGAGCAACGCCGCGUGAGUGAUGAAGGUCUUCGGAUCGUAAAACUCUGUUAUUAGGGAAGAACAUAUGUGUAAGUAACUGUGCACAUCUUGACGGUACCUAAUCAGAAAGCCACGGCUAACUACGUG